rnacentral:rRNA from 1 species
ACGUAGGGGGCUAGCGUUGUCCGGAUUUAUUGGGCGUAAAGGGCGCGUAGGCGGUCAUGACAAGUCACUUGUGAAAUCUCCGGGCUUAACUCGGAACGGUCAAGUGAUACUGUCAGACUAGAGUGCAGAAGGGGCAACUGGAAUUCUCGGUGUAGCGGUGAAAUGCGUAGAUAUCGAGAGGAACACCUGCGGCGAAGGCGGGUUGCUGGGCUGACACUGACGCUGAGGCGCGAAAGCCAGGGGAGCGAACGGGA